UGAGACACGGUCCAAACUCCUACGGGAGGCAGCAGUGAGGAAUAUUGGUCAAUGGUCGGCAGACUGAACCAGCCAAGUCGCGUGAGGGAAGACGGCCCUACGGGUUGUAAACCUCUUUUGUCGGAGAGUAAAGUACGCUACGUGUAGCGUAUUGCAAGUAUCCGAAGAAAAAGCAUCGGCUAACUCCGUGCCAGCAGCCGCGGUAAUACGGAGGAUGCAAGCGUUAUCCGGAUUUAUUGGGUUUAAAGGGUGCGUAGGCGGCACGCCAAGUCAGCGGUGAAAUUUCCGGGCUCAACCCGGACUGUGCCGUUGAAACUGGCGAGCUAGAGUGCACAAGAGGCAGGCGGAAUGCGUGGUGUAGCGGUGAAAUGCAUAGAUAUCACGCAGAACCCCGAUUGCGAAGGCAGCCUGCUAGGGUGCGACAGACGCUGAGGCACGAAAGCGUGGGUAUCGAACAGGAUUAGAUACCCUGGUAGUCCACGCAGUAAACGAUGAAUACUAACUGUUUGCGAUACAAUGUAAGCGGUACAGCGAAAGCGUUAAGUAUUCCACCUGGGGAGUACGCCGGCAACGGUGAAACUCAAAGGAAUUGACGGGGGCCCGCACAAGCGGAGGAACAUGUGGUUUAAUUCGAUGAUACGCGAGGAACCUUACCCGGGCUUAAAUUGCACUCGAAUGAUCCGGAAACGGUUCAGCUAGCAAUAGCGAGUGUGAAGGUGCUGCAUGGUUGUCGUCAGCUCGUGCCGUGAGGUGUCGGCUUAAGUGCCAUAACGAGCGCAACCCCUAUGGACAGUUACUAACGGGUGAAGCCGAGGACUCUGUCUAGACUGCCGGCGCAAGCCGCGAGGAAGGUGGGGAUGACGUCAAAUCAGCACGGCCCUUACGUCCGGGGCGACACACGUGUUACAAUGGCAGGUACAGAAGGCAGCCAGUCAGCAAUGACGCGCGAAUCCCGAAAACCUGUCUCAGUUCGGAUUGGAGUCUGCAACCCGACUCCAUGAAGCUGGAUUCGCUAGUAAUCGCGCAUCAGCCAUGGCGCGGUGAAUACGUUCCCGGGCCUUGUACACACCGCCCGUCAAGCCAUGGAAGCUGGGGGUGCCUGAAGUUCGUGACCGCAAGGAGCGACCUAGGGCAAAACCGGUGACUGGGGCUAAGUCGUAACAAGGUAGCCGUACCGGAAGGUGCGGCUG
rnacentral:rRNA from 1 species